AUUGAACGCUGGCGGCAGGCCUAACACAUGCAAGUCGAGCGAGCGGCGGACGGGUGAGUAAUGUAUGGGGACUGCCCGAUAGAGGGGGAUAACUACUGGAAACGGUAGCUAAUACCGCAUACUAUCGGAUAACCCAUAUGGGAUUAGCUAUUAGGUGAGGUAAUGGCUCACCUAGGCGACGAUCCCUAGCUGGUCUGAGAGGAUGAUCAGCCACACUGGUACGGAGACACGGCCCAGACUCCGACGGAGGCAGCAGUGGGGAAUAUUGCACAAGGGGCGCAAGCCGUAAGCAGCCAUGCCGCGUGUAUGAAGAAGGCCCUAGGGUUGUAAAGUACUUUCAGUCGGGAGGCGUUACCUACAGAAGAAGCACCGGCGAACUCCGUGCCAGCAGCCGCGGUAAUUC
rnacentral:rRNA from 1 species